rnacentral:tRNA from 1 species
GGGUCAGUAGCAAAUCGGCAACUGCGGCGGACUGUAAAUCCGUUUCCUUCGGGAGUAGCUGGAUCGACACCAGCCUGGCCCACCA